GCCUCAGUAGCUUAAUUAAAGCAUCGGCCUUGUAAGCCGAAGAUUGGAGAAUAAUCUCCUCCCUAAGGCU
rnacentral:tRNA from 1 species